rnacentral:rRNA from 1 species
UUUAAUGACUCUCGGCAACGGAUAUCUCGGCUCUCGCAUCGAUGAAGAACGUAGCGAAAUGCGAUACUUGGUGUGAAUUGCAGAAUCCCGUGAACCAUCGAGUUUUUGAACGCAAGUUGCGCCCGAAGCCAUCUGGUUGAGGGCACGUYUGCCUGGGCGUCACGU